GGGGCGGACAAGGCCAGGCAGCUGGUGUUUCCAGAGAGACACCUGCAGGCUUCUGGCAGGCAGCUGCGACGCAGGCAGCCUAAGCUGUGGCAAUAAGAGGUUUUUAAAAAUACAUUUCUGUAUUUUUAAAUUGUUCUGGCUGAAUGCUAAUUCCCUGAAGAGAACCAGAGAUUUUGUGUCUUUCAUUUUGCCUAGGAUUUCUCUUCUUUGCAGAUUUUCAACUGUCAUUUAAUUUCUCCCUUACCAGCCCUGUUGGCAGUUCCCGGUAGAGGCAGGAUGGAAGUCUCAGUGCUCUCUCUGAUUCCCACAUUUUUACUCCAGGGAAUCCUGCAUGAGAGGAAGCAGGUGGGAGCAGGGGAGGCUGGGGAGGAGGGAGGAGGAUCCCAAGGCUCCCCUGCCGUCAGGAGGGGCGGGUGACCAGGGGACUCCCUUCCUCCUAGCUGGACCAAAGGGCUUUUUGGCAUCUCUGGGCCCCAGCUGCCAAUUUCUGCCCCUUCUAGUCUGGAGGCAAUGUCGGGGUUCCCACCUGGUGUGUGUCCCCUACACUCUUGUGACAGACUCACCUGGUCAGUGACCGAGCACUUCUCAACUCGGUGCUCCAGGGGUCAACAUCUGCCUUGUCCCGUUCCAGCCUGGCCAUGCCAGGGUGUCAUGACAAGCUGAACCUGGCACUCGUGUCCCCUGCCUCUGUGGUGGGGGAUGUGGUUUGCAAUUAGACAUUCCCAGAGGUUUGUGGAGGGUCUUCCUUAAGAUGUGGCCGAGGCGUCUUGAC
rnacentral:lncRNA from 1 species